UAGCUCGACGCGGAGAGCGGUGAGCACACCGCAACCCCUGCCAUUCCGGUCCUCCGCGCCGAAGAGCCAUGGAAUAGAAUCCCGUCACCGCCUGGACCGCUUAGAAACAACGGAGUUGGAUCUUCGUUUACUUCCUCGCCAUGGCGCUCCCCGUCCUCUUUGCCCUCUCGGCCCUCCUCCUCCUCGGCCUCGACGAGGUCUCUGUUCGCCCUGCCUCCGCCGCCGCCGCCGAUGUCGUCGAAAUUACUUAUGGGUCCGUUAUCAAAUUGAUGCACGAGAAGACGAAGUACCGGUUGCACUCGCACGAUGUGCCAUAUGGAUCAGGGAGCGGGCAGCAGUCGGUCACUGGAUCUCCCGACGUGGACGAUUCCAAUAGUUACUGGAUUGUGAGGCCUCAACCAGAUUCAUCUGCCAGACAAGGUGACAUCAUCGAGACUGGAGCUAUUAUCCGAUUACAACACAUGAAAACUCGUAGAUGGCUUCAUAGCCAUUUGCAUGCUUCUCCAUUAUCUGGUAACCUUGAGGUAAGCUGCUAUGGGGGGGAUGACCGAUCAGAUACGGGUGAUUUUUGGCGUCUUGAGAUUGAGGGCAGUGGGAAAACAUGGAGGAAGGACCAGAGAGUAAGGCUUCGACAUGUUGAUACCGGUGGUUACCUACACAGCCAUGACAAAAAGUACAAUAGGAUAGCAGGAGGGCAGCAAGAGGUAUGUGGUGUUCGGGACAAACGGGCCGAUAACGUCUGGCUGGCAGCAGAGGGUGUGUACCUCCCAGUUAUUGCAAGCAAGUGAUCAACGCAUUCUGGUGAUAGCUGACGAGCCAAUGCUGCAUUAAUCUCAUCGAGGUGAGAAGAACACUUUCAUGGGAAAGCAAAGAAAACUCAGAGGCCUCACCGAUCUAACAAACUAUAUUUUGAUCAUCCGUGGAAUCAUCUGAGACCCUUUUGUCUCGAACAUCAAUGUCAGAGGCUUCAAAAAACACGUUAGGAGGACACUCAACCUCUUCUGAUGACCUCCUCCUCCUCCUCCCUUGUGUUGCAGCCUCCUCUUCAUCCUCUAUCGCUGCAACCUUCCUGCCCCUUAGCUCCUCCUGCAGCAAUGAUGAUAACUAUGAUGUCGAGAGAGGUAGAGUGGUAAUAGCAAUAAAAAUUAAUGAAUUAGUGAACAUGAUUGCAUAGAAUAAAAAGCAAGAGAGAGCUUCCAAUGAAUAUACUUCCUUUGAAUUA